AUGCUCUUAUCUUCUGGUGACCAGGGCCGCCUUUUCUGUCGGCCAACGACCACCAAGCACUGAGGGAGAUGCAGGCACUUCGCCCCAAGUCCUGAUGCACCAAGGAAAAGUUCACUGCAGAAAUGGCCUGUCCCAACCACAGCACACCCAGGGGACGGCUGCUCAGGAGACGAGGCCCUGGGAAGAAGAUGGCCCAUGAGGAGUAGAAACUGUCGGAACUGGAAAGAAAGCUGGCAUAAGGACUGAGGACCACCUGCCCUCAGGACCACUGGGUGCCUAUGCAGGACAAAGAGGCCAUUUGUUCUGGGCUUCGUGGGGAUCCCAACCCAAAGAACGGUGCUGUAUACAGGGAGUGUAUGUCCCACUUCAGUUAACCUAAUCUAGGCAAUGCUUCACCGGCUUGCCCAGAGGCUAACGGGAGGGAACCUCGAAGUCGAUGCAAGACACCCCAAGACCAAAGCCCAUCAAGUUGACAACUGAGACCACUACCGUCUCCCUCAAAGAGGCCCUGUAACAAGACAAGCUGUUUUUCAAGAAAGUGAGCUCCCCAUCACAGGAGGUAUGCAAACAACACGGGCAGCAGACCACUGGAAGACUUAAAGAGAGACUUCUAGACCGUUCAGAAGAAUGGACCAAGAGUGUCUGAGGUCCCGGAAAGAGGCCCAGCGUGAAAAAAAAAAAACAAAAACAAAAGCAAAAUAUAAACAAAAAAACAAACCAACACAAAAGCAAAAACUUUUUAAAGAGAUAGGGUUUGGGUGGGCAACAAGGUGGCUGAGGGGUAGACGCUGGCCACAGAGCCUGUUGACCUGAGCCCAAGCCACGGACCCAUGUCAUGGUAAGAGAGAACCAAUUCCACGAAGUUGUCCUCUGACCUCCACAGGUGUGUAUGGCAGGAGUGCCCCCCUACACACACACACACACACACACACACACACACACACACACACACACACACACUAAAAACAUAGCGCUUAGCCAGGCUGUGGUGACUCACACUUUCAAUCCCAGCACUUAGGAGACAGAGACAGGUGAAUCUGAAUUGGAGCCCAGCCUGGUCUACAGAGCGAGUUCUAGGACAGCCAAGACUACACAGAGAAACCCUGUGGGGGGAAGAAGCAGCUCAAGGUGAACUGUGAGCCCCCGAUCAGACAGAAAGUGGCAAGGGUACUCUGAUGCCAUUUGAAAUCUUGGUGGCAGGAGGUGUGGUCAGGUAGUGCUACCUGGAACAGUCUAGGCCCUCGGUCCCUCUCUCUCCCUUUUCUGGAAUCAUCUAGCCCUCUCUAGAUAAAAAUGAACAGGGCCAGCCGGGCGGUGGUGACACACACCUUUAAUCCCAGCACUCGGGAGGCAGAGCCAGGCGGAUCUCUGUGAGUUCCAGGCCAGCCUGGGCUACAGCGCGAGAUCCAGGAAAGGCGCAAAGCUACACAGAGAAACCCUGUCUCGAAAAACAACAACAAAAAAAAAAUGAACAGGGCCUCACUGCUGCCUCACUGGCUUGUCCUAGACAGCACCUCUCUUCUCCAGGUCUGACCCUCUGCUCACUGUCUCCGCUGAAACUUUUCUUCCAAGGGUAGCCCAAAUUGUCAGUCACACUCUCGGGGAAGGGCGGUGGCUCAGGUUUUAAGGGAACCUGGCUCACAGUCCCUGGGACUCGGGCCUGAUGCUCAAAGAGAUUCAGCGGAGGUGGCAGGGCCCAACCAGGCAGCCUAGAUACAGCUAGACGGCCAGGAAGAAACCCAGAUGUUAUCGCCCAGUGUGGUUGCCAUGGUGAUGGAUACACCUGAGCUCACCGUGGUAUUAAGGAAGCCUCUGCAAACAGUCUCAAGUCCCAGCUUCCCUCCCAGGACUGUCUGUGGGAAGGCUGGCAGGAGGAGGUACGGCCAUGAGAGAGCAAAACGAGGCCAGAAGAGAGAUGAAGAAACGCCAUCUCCCACAGAUGCCUUCCUAGUCUAAGGACCGGAGAGGUGGCUCACCGGAUAAAGCGCUUGCCCUGCAAGCGUGGGGUUCUGAAUUCAGAUCCCUGUAACUCACUUAGAGAGGAUGAGCUAGGGAGUGGGUAGGGCGUGUCUGUAAUCCUGAAGCUUCAACAUCCGCCUCAUUUACAUAAGAGGUCCAGGGGCCAACCUGGGCUACAUGGGGCCAACCUGGGCUACAUGAGGCCAACCUGGGCUACAUGAGACCCUGUCAAAAAAAAAAAAGGGACAAGCCAGGUGGUAGUGGUGCCAUGCCUAUAAUCCUAGCACUCAGGAGACAGAGAGAGGUCGGUCUCUGAGUUCGAGGCCAGCCUGGUCUACAGAGGGAGUUCCAGGACAGCCAGGGCUACAAAGAGAAACCCUGUCUCAAAAAACAAAAAAACAAAAAAAAUUAAUAACUGGGUCAGGAUUCAGGAUGUACCGCUAUGGUAGAGAAUUUGCUUAGCAAGUGCAAAACUCUGAGCUUAAUCUCCGACAUCACACACACACACACACACACACACACACACACACACACACACACACAUAUAUAUAUAUAUAUAUAUAUAUAUAUAUAUAUAUAUAUAAU